GACGAACGCUGGCGGCGUGCCUAAUACAUGCAAGUUGAGCGCUGAAGGUUGGUACUUGUACCAACUGGAUGAGCAGCGAACGGGUGAGUACCGCGUGGGGAAUCUGCCUUUGAGCGGGGGACAACAUUUGGAAACGAAUGCUAAUACCGCAUAAAAACUUUAAACACAAGUUUUAAGUUUGAAAGAUGCAAUUGCAUCACUCAAAGAUGAUCCCGCGUUGUAUUAGCUAGUUGGUGAGGUAAAGGCUCACCAAGGCGAUGAUACAUAGCCGACCUGAGAGGGUGAUCGGCCACAUUGGGACUGAGACACGGCCCAAACUCCUACGGGAGGCAGCAGUAGGGAAUCUUCGGCAAUGGACGAAAGUCUGACCGAGCAACGCCGCGUGAGUGAAGAAGGUUGUCGGAUCGUAAAACUCUGUUGGUAGAGAAGAACGUUGGUGAGAGUGGAAAGCUCAUCAAGUGACGGUAACUACCCAGAAAGGGACGGCUAACUACGUG
rnacentral:rRNA from 1 species